GAUGAACGCUAGCUACAGGCUUAACACAUGCAAGUCGAGGGGCAGCAUGAACUUAGCUUGCUAAGUUUGAUGGCGACCGGCGCACGGGUGAGUAACACGUAUCCAACCUUCCGUUUACUCAGGGAUAGCCUUUCGAAAGAAAGAUUAAUACCUGAUAGUAUGGUGAGAUUGCAUGAUAGCACCAUUAAAGAUUUAUUGGUAAACGAUGGGGAUGCGUUCCAUUAGGUAGUAGGCGGGGUAACGGCCCACCUAGCCGACGAUGGACUAGGGGUUCUGAGAGGAAGGUCCCCCACAUUGGAACCUGAGACACGGUCCAAACUCCUACGGGAGCAGCAGUGAGGAAUAUUGGUCAAUGGGCGAGAGCCUGAACCAGCCAAGUAGCGUGAAGGAUGAAGGUCCUACGGAUUGUAAACUUCUUUA
rnacentral:rRNA from 1 species